AAAGGGGUUCUCUAUGGCACCGUCCCCUCCGUAAAACUCAGAACCUACAGACUUCAGAGCUUCAAAUCUUGAGAUUGAGAGUUCCUUCAGAGAUGUUAACAGUCCAAGAGGUGGCAAACUUGAGCAGCUUUUACACCCAUUUAACUCCAAGGAGACAAAAUUUGACAAGUAAGAAUUGGAAAACCAAUCCGGAAUUCCUGU
rnacentral:misc_RNA from 1 species